GACUGAAAGCUUUAUUUCCUCAUUGCCUAUUCUAAUUCUUUAAAUUUCUUCUCCUCUUGUUGCUAUAGCUCUACAAUACUGAAUAGUAGUGGUGAUAUUGAAUAUCUUUGUUUAACUCCACGUCUUAUUGGAAAAGCUUCUAGCUUAUCUCCUUCACAGUUUGUAUUCUCAGUGUCUGAUCUCCCUGAGUGA
rnacentral:lncRNA from 1 species